rnacentral:tRNA from 1 species
GGUGCGUUCAUAUAGCGGUUCAUUAUGCCGGAUUGUCGAUCCGGUCACAGGGGUUCGAUUCCCCUACGCACCGCCA